rnacentral:rRNA from 1 species
AUACGGAGGGGGUUAGCGUUGCUCGGAAUUACUGGGCGUAAAGCGCACGUAGGCGGAUUGGAAAGUUGGGGGUGAAAUCCCAGGGCUCAACCCUGGAACUGCCUCCAAAACUAACAGUCUAGAGUUCGAGAGAGGUGAGUGGAAUUCCAAGUGUAGAGGUGAAAUUCGUAGAUAUUUGGAGGAACACCAGUGGCGAAGGCGGCUCACUGGCUCGAUACUGACGCUGAGGUGCGAAAGCGUGGGGAGCAAACAGGAUUAGAUACCCCAGUAGUCC